AGGAUAAACGCUGGCGGCGUGCCUAACACAUGCAAGUCGAACGUCCUUGCGGUCUUCUUCUUCGGAGGAGGACCGCGAGGGAGUGGCGGACGGGUGAGUAACACAUGGGUACCUGCCUUUCAGUGAGGAAUACCGGCGAGAAAUCGCCGACAAGACCGCAUAGGCUUCCUUCGGUAGCCCGAGGGAAGCAAAGUUACUUCGCGAGAGGUGACGCUGGAAGAGGGGCCUGUGGCCGAUUAGCUAGUUGGGGGGGUAACGGCCUCCCAAGGCGACGAUCGGUAGCUGGUCUGAGAGGACGAUCAGCCACACUGGGAUUGAGAACGGCCCAGACUCCUACGGGGGGCAGCAGUGAGGAAUUUUCCGCAAUGGACGAAAGUCUGACGGAGCAACGCCGCGUGCAGGAGGAAGGUUUUCGGAUCGUAAACUGCUUUUCUCGGGGACGAGCAAGGACGGUACCCGAGGAAUCAGCCCCGGCUAACUACGUGCCAGCAGCCGC
rnacentral:rRNA from 1 species